AAGACUAUACUUUCAGGGAUCAUUUCUAUAGUUCUUAACUAGGAAAUGUGUUUCAAAAGUGUUGCGUCUCCUAAACCACGAUGAUGAGUUUUGGUACUCUUUUCUGAGCGUGAAUCGGAUAUAGAGUAAUGAUUUAUUUCAUAAACUUUACAUCAUUGAUGAACGUUCCUUACUACGUUUUUGCAGUUUGGAAGAAAAGAGUAUGAUCAGAGUGGUU
ensembl:snoRNA